AACGGUAAGGCCCUUCGGGGUACACGAGUGGCGAACGGGUGAGUAACACGUGGGUAAUCUGCCCUGCACUUCGGGAUAAGCCUGGGAAACUGGGUCUAAUACCGGAUAUUCAGAUUCUGCCGCAUGGUGGUUUCUGGAAAGUUUUUCGGUGCAGGAUGUGCCCGCGGCCUAUCAGCUUGUUGGUGGGGUAAUGGCCUACCAAGGCGACGACGGGUAGCCGGCCUGAGAGGGUGAUCGGCCACAUUGGGACUGAGACACGGCCCAGACUCCUACGGGAGGCAGCAGUGGGGAAUAUUGCACAAUGGGCGCAAGCCUGAUGCAGCGACGCCGCGUGAGGGAUGACGGUCUUCGGAUUGUAAACCUCUUUCAGUAGGGACGAAGCGAAAGUGACGGUACCUGCAGAAGAAGCACCGGCCAACUACGUGCCAGCAGCCGCGGUAAUACGUAGGGUGCGAGCGUUGUCCGGAAUUACUGGGCGUAAAGAGCUCGUAGGCGGUUUGUCACGUCGUCUGUGAAAUCCUACAGCUUAACUGUGGGCGUGCAGGCGAUACGGGCAGACUUGAGUACUACAGGGGAGACUGGAAUUCCUGGUGUAGCGGUGAAAUGCGCAGAUAUCAGGAGGAACACCGGUGGCGAAGGCGGGUCUCUGGGUAGUAACUGACGCUGAGGAGCGAAAGCAUGGGUAGCGAACAGGAUUAGAUACCCUGGUAGUCCAUGCCGUAAACGGUGGGCGCUAGGUGUGGGUUUCC
rnacentral:rRNA from 1 species